rnacentral:rRNA from 1 species
AAGGUCGUAACAAGGUCUCCGUUGGUGAACCAGCGGAGGGAUCAUUACUGAGUACUACACUCUCUACCCUUUGUGAACUAUUAUACCUGUUGCUUCGGCGGCGCCCGCAAGGGUGCCCGCCGGUCUCAUCAGAAUCUCUGUUUUCGAACCCGACGAUACUUCUGAGUGUUCUUAGCGAACUGUCAAACUUUUAACAACGGAUCUCUUGGCUCAGCAUCGAUGAAGAACGCAGCGAAACGCGAUAUGUAAUGUGAAUUGCAGAAUUCAGUGAAUCAUCGAAUCUUUGAACGCACAUGGCGCCUUCCAGUAUCCUGGGAGGCAUGCCUGUCCGAGCGUCGUUUCAACCCUCGAGCCCCUGUGGCCCGGCGUUGGGGAUCUGCCACGGCAGGCCCCUAAAACCAGUGGCGGACCCGAAGGGCCCUCUCCUUUGCGCAGUAGCAUUCGCCUCGCAUCGGGAGUCCUCGGCGUCCUGCCUCUAAACCCCCCACAAGCCCGCUUCGGCGGCACCAAGGUUGACCUCGGAUCAGGUAGGAAUACCCGCUGAACUUAA